rnacentral:rRNA from 1 species
AGUAACACGUAGGCAACCUGCCCAGAAGCGGGGGACAACAUUUGGAAACAGAUGCUAAUACCGCAUAACAACGUUGUUCGCAUGAACAACGUUUCAAAGAUGGCCUCUGGCUAUCACUUCUGGAUGGACCUGCGGUGCAUUAGCUUGUUGGUGGGGUAGUGGCCUACCAAGGCGAUGAUGCAUAGCCGAGUUGAGAGACUGAUCGGCCACAAUGGGACUGAGACACGGCCCAUACUCCUACGGGAGGCAGCAGUAGGGAAUCUUCCACAAUGGGCGCAAGCCUGAUGGAGCAACACCGCGUGAGUGAAGAAGGGUUUCGGCUCGUAAAGCUCUGUUGUUAAAGAAGAACAUGCGUGAGAGUAACUGUUCACGCAUUGACGGUAUUUAACCAGAAAGUCACGGCUAACUACGUGCCAGCAGCCGCGGUAAUACGUAGGUGGCAAGCGUUAUCCGGAUUUAUUGGGCGUAAAGAGAGUGCAGGCGGUUUACUAAGUCUGAUGUGAAAGCCUUCGGCUUAACCGGAGAAGGGCAUCGGAAACUGGCUAACUUGAGUGCAGAAGAGGGUAGUGGAACUCCAUGUGUAGCGGUGGAAUGCGUAGAUAUACGGAAGAACACCAGUGGCGAAGGCGGCUACCUGGUCUGUAACUGACGCUGAGACUCGAAAGCAUGGGUAGCGAACAGGAUUAGAUACCCUGGUAGUCCAUGCCGUAAACGAUGAAUAUAAGGUGUGCGGGGACUGACCCCCUGCGUGCCGCAGCUAACGCAAUAAGUAUUCCACCUGGGGAGUACGAUCGCAAGGUCGAAACUCAAAGGAAUUGACGGGGGCCCGCACAAGCGGUGGAUUAUGUGGUUUAAUUAGAAGCAACGCGAAGAACCUUACCAGGGCUUGACAUCCUACUAACGAAGUAGAGAUACAUCAGGUGCCCUUCGGGGAAAGUAGAGACAGGUGGUGCAUGGUUGUCGUCAGCUCGUGUCGUGAGAUGUUGGGUUAAGUCCCGCAACGAGCGCAACCCCUAUUGUUAGUUGCUACGCAAGAGCACUCUAGCGAGACUGCCGUUGACAAAACGGAGGAAGGUGGGGAGGACGUCAAAUCAUCAUGCCCCUUAUAUCCUGGGCUACACACGUAAUACAAUGGCGGUCAACAGAGGGAAGCAAAGCCGCGAGGCAGAGCAAACCCCCAAAAGCCGUCCCAGUUCGGAUUGUAGGCUGCAACUCGCCUGCAUGAAGUCGGAAUCGCUAGUAAUCGCGGAUCAGCAUGCCGCGGUGAAUACGUUCCCGGGCCUUGCACACACCGCCCGUCA